rnacentral:tRNA from 1 species
GAUGUUUGGUGAAUGAAUAAAUGAAUAUUCGACUCGUUUUUCAAUGUGGAAU